UCCCCUUAAAAUAUCCCCUAUCUAUAAUUGUAAAGUGCUGUGUGAUAUGAUAGUGCUGUAUAAAUAUUAAUAAUAACCUGUAUUUUUCUAACACACUUUUAUUAGUCAUUAGUGUUUUUUUAUGUUGUUUGUAGAUUUUUGCAACAAAAUUGGGAUGGUCGCUCCCCCACCUGCCUACAUUGGAUUUGACCAAAAGUAGGAGUCCUCCAGGUAAGUCAAUUUACUUGACUUCAGAUUUAUGUGAAUUAAUUCAGAGGGCAAAACUGAGGUAAAAUGGCUGGUUUUGGAAAAAUUGUCACAGUUUGGGUAUUUUUCCCCUCAAUUUUUCCCUUUAAAAAUCAGUUUGUGAAAAUAUAGAGUUUAGUAGAGAACCAAAUGUAAAGUAUGUGAUGUCAAAGUUAGAGAGUUGGUAAAAGCUCAGCUGUUCAGUAAAUUAGCCCCUAAGAAUCAUGACAGUUAAUGGAACAAGCAUCUGAUUUUAUAAUUUGUAUCUAUUUUUUUCAGAAAUGCUUUUGCCAUUUUCACUGUUUGACUAAAUUAUUCAUUU